rnacentral:rRNA from 1 species
GACGAACGCUGGCGGCGUGCCUAAUACAUGCAAGUCGAACGCAGUGGGGACGGGUGAGUAACACGUGGGUAACCUCCCAUCAGAGGGGAUAACACUUGGCAACUGGUGCUAAACCGAUACUGAUGGAUGGACCCGCGGUGCAUUAGCUAGGUGGUGAGGUAACGGCUCACCAAGGCCAAGAUGCAUAGCCGACCUGAGAGGGGGAUCGGCCACACUGGGACUGAGACACGGCCCAGACUCCUACGGGAGGCAGCAGUAGGGAAUAUUCGGCAAUGGGCGAAAGUCUGACCGAGCAACGCCGCGUGAGUGAAGAAGGUUUUCGGAUCGUAAAGCUCUGUCAGUAGGGAAGCGUUACCUAAGCAGAAAGCCACGGCUAACUACGUGCCAGCAGCCGCGGUAAUAC